rnacentral:rRNA from 1 species
GGUCAAGUUAUUAAGGGUGCAGGGCGGAUGCCUUGGCACUAGGAGCCGAUGAAGGACGUGAUAAGCUGCGAUAAGCUUCGGGGAGUUGCACGUAAACUUUGAUCCGAAGAUUUCCGAAUGAGGAAACUCACUUAGAGUAAUGUCUAAGUAUCAUUAAGUGAAUACAUAGCUUAAUGAGGGGAACUCAGGGAACUGAAACAUCUAAGUACCUGAAGGAAGAGAAAGAAAUUCGAUUCCGUAAGUAGCGGCGAGCGAACGCGGAUUAGCCCAAACCAAUAAAGUUUUCUUUAUUGGGGUUGCGGACAUAUCAUAACGAAGAGGUAUCGUAAUUGAAGAGGUUUGGAAAGACCCACCACAGAAGGUAAUAGUCCUGUAUGUUAAACGAGAAGACUUUAGAUAUGAUCCAGAGUACCACGGGACACGUGAAACCCUGUGGGAAGCAGGAGGGACCACCCUCCAAGGCUAAAUACUACCUAGUGACCGAUAGCGUAUAGUACCGUGAGGGAAAGGUGAAAAGAACCCCGGGAGGGGAGUGAAAUAGAACCUGAAACCCUGCACUUACAAGCUGUGGAAGCACAUUUCUUGUGUGACCGCGUACUUUUUGUAGAACGGGCCAACGAGUUACGUUAAGUAGCAAGGUUAAGCACUUAAGGUGCGGAGCCGUAGCGAAAGCGAGUUUUAACUGAGCGUUCAGUUACUUGACGUAGACCCGAAACCGGGCGACCUACCCAUGAGCAGGAUGAAGCGAAAGUAAAAUUUCGUGGAGGUCCGAACCCACGAGCGUUGAAAAGCUCGGGGAUGACUUGUGGGUAGCGGUGAAAUUCCAAUCGAGCCCGGAGAUAGCUGGUUCUCCCCGAAAUAGCUUUAGGGCUAGCCUCAAGGUGAGAGAUACGGAGGUAGAGCACUGAAUGUCCUAGGGGGUAUUGCACCUACCGAAGACUAUCAAACUCCGAAUGCCGUCAUCUUAUACUUGGGAGUCAGACUGUGGGUGAUAAGAUUCAUAGUCGAAAGGGCAACAGCCCAGAUCGUCAGCUAAGGUCCCUAAAUGUAAGUUAAGUGGUAAAGGAUGUGGGAUUGCACAGACAACCAGGAUGUUGGCUUAGAAGCAGCCACUCAUUCAAAGAGUGCGUAAUAGCUCACUGGUCGAGUGAUCCUGCGCCGAAGAUUUCCGGGGCUAAAACUUACUACCGAAGCUACGGCAUCAGUAAUGAUGGGUAGGGGAGCUUCCCAUACGGGUUGAAGCAUGACCGUAAGGACAUGUGGACAGUAUGGGAGUGAGAAUGUUGGCAUGAGUAGCGAGAUGUGGGUGAGAAUCCCACAGGCCGUAAACCCAAGGUUUCCAGGGGAAGGUUCGUCCGCCCUGGGUUAGUCGGGACCUAAGCUGAGGCCGAAAGGCGUAGGUGAUGGACAACAGGUUGAUAUUCCUGUACUACCGAUAACCGUUUGAGAGAAGGGAUGACACAGUAGGAUAAGCUAAGCACACUGUUGGUUAUGUGUGCCCAAGCAUUGAGGCAGUCAAAGUAGGCAAAUCCGCUUUGAUAAUGCUGGGAUGUGAUGGGGAGCGAAAUUUAGUAGCGAAGUAGCUGAUUUCACACUGUCAAGAAAAGUCUCUAUCGAGGUUAAAGGUACCCGUACCGCAAACCGACACAGGUGGGUGAGGAGAGUAUCCUAAGGCCAGCGAGAGAACUGUUGUUAAGGAACUCGGCAAAAUGACCCCGUAACUUAGGGAUAAGGGGUGCCACCAUCAGGUGGCCGCAGAGAAUAGGCCCAAGCGACUGUUUACCAAAAACAUAGGUUUCUGCUAAGUCGCAAGACGAUGUAUAGGAGCUGACGCCUGCCCGGUGCUGGAAGGUUAAGGGGAUCUGUUAGAGCAAUCGAAGCAGUGAACUUAAGCCCCAGUAAACGGCGGCCGUAACUAUAACGGUCCUAAGGUAGCGAAAUUCCUUGUCGGGUAAGUUCCGACCCGCACGAAAGGCGUAACGAUUUGGGCACUGUCUCAACAACAGACUCGGUGAAAUUGUAAUUCCGGUGAAGAUGCCGGAUACCUGCGACAGGACGGAAAGACCCCAUGGAGCUUUACUGUAGCUUGACAUUGGGUCUUGGUACUACAUGUACAGGAUAGGUGGGAGGCUUUGAAACCAGGACGCCAGUUUUGGCGGAGCCAUCCUUGGGAUACCACCCUUGUAGUACUGGGACUCUAACCAUAGGCCAUGAAUCUGGUCUUGGGACACUGUCAGGUGGGCAGUUUGACUGGGGCGGUCGCCUCCCAAAAGGUAACGGAGGCGCUCAAAGGUUCUCUCAGUACGGUCGGAAAUCGUACGUAGAGUGUAAAGGCAAAAGAGAGCUUGAUUGCAAGACAUACAGGUCGAGCAAGGAUGAAAAUCGGACUUAGUGAUCCGGUGGUUCUGCGUGGAAGGGCCAUCGCUCAACGGAUAAAAGCUACCCUGGGGAUAACAGGCUUAUCUCCCCCAAGAGUCCACAUCGACGGGGAGGUUUGGCACCUCGAUGUCGGCUCAUCACAUCCUGGGGCUGUAGUAGGUCCCAAGGGUUGGGCUGUUCGCCCAUUAAAGUGGUACGCGAGCUGGGUUCAGAACGUCGUGAGACAGUUCGGUCCCUAUCCGUCGCAGGCGUAGGAAAUUUGAGAAGACCUGUCCUUAGUACGAGAGGACCGGGAUGGACGUACCUCUGGUGUACCAGUUGUCCUGCCAAGGGCAUAGCUGGGUAGCUAUGUACGGAAUGGAUAAGCGCUGAAAGCAUCUAAGCGCGAAGCCAACUUCAAGAUAAGAUUUCCCACCGCAAGGGUAAGACCCCAGAAAGACUAUCUGGUUGAUAGGUCGAAGGUGUAAGUGCAGCAAUGUAUUUAGCUUAUCGAUACUAAUAGGUCGAGGACUUGACCAA